CAUGUCUUUUUGAUUAUAAUAUAAAGUCUGGCCUGCCCUAUGAAUAAGUUAUUUUUAAAUGGCUGCGGUACUCUGACCGUGCAAAGGUAGCAUAAUCAUUAGUUUUUUAAUUGGGAACUGGUAUGAAAGGUCGCACGAGAAAAAGACUGUCUCAAUUUAAUUUAAAUUAGAAUUUUAUUUUUAAGUAAGAAAGCUUAAAUAUUUUUAAAAGACGAGAAGACCCUAUAGAGUUUUAUAUAAUUUAGUAUAUUUGAAAGUUAAAGAAUUUUAGAUUUAAUUAUAUUAAAUUAUAUUUGGUUGGGGCAAUUAAAAAAUUAAAUGAAUUUUUUUUAAAUUAUAACAUUGAUAUAUGAUUAAGUGAUCCAUAAUUUAUGAUUAAAAGAUUAAAUUACCUUAGGGAUAACAGCGUAAUUUUUUUUAGAGUACUUAUCGAAAAAAGAGUUUGCGACC
rnacentral:rRNA from 1 species